rnacentral:misc_RNA from 1 species
UACGGAGGGUGCGAGCGUUAUCCGGAAUCACUGGGCGUAAAGGGCGUGUAGGCGGCCUGCUAAGUCCGAUGUCAAAGCCCGAGGCUCAACCUCGGUCCGGCGUUGGAUACUGACGGGCUUGACGACUGGAGAGGCAAGUGGAAUUACCAGUGUAGCGGUGGAAUGCGUAGAUACUGGUAGGAACACCCAUUGCGAAGGCAGCUUGCUGGACAGUUUGUGACGCUGAGGCGCGAAAGUGUGGGGAGCAAACCGG